rnacentral:rRNA from 1 species
CACGUAGGGGGCAAGCGUUGUCCGGAUUUAUUGGGCGUAAAGAGCUCGUAGGCGGUUCGGUAAGUCGGGUGUGAAACCUCCAGGCUCAACCUGGAGAUGCCACCUGAUACUGCUGUGACUCGAGUCCGGUAGGGGAGCGUGGAAUUCCCGGUGUAGCAGUGAAAUGCGUAGAUAUCGUAAGGAAGACCAGUGGCGAAGGCGGAUCUCUGGACAGUUACUGACACUGAGGCACGAAGGCCAGGGGAGCAAACGGG